GUAUGUAUCUAAUACCAUAUUAGACUCUGGGGACUUGGCAGUAGUGGGACAUACAUGGUCCUUUGAUUCAUGAAGCUAGGUGGCUAGUGUGGGCAUAACACUGACAAAUAAACAGUAGUUUACAAUAGAGCUUAAGAGUGAAGUACAGGAUGCUAAGGGACCACACAUGAAGAACAUCCAAUCUAGUUGCAGAUAAGGAAUCUUGGGGCUUGGUUAACCUGCAAUCUAAAGGAUGAGAGAGAUUAUUCAGGAGACAGUGAGAUGGCAGCUGUCUGAAAGUCAGGAAGAGAGCUCUCACCAGAAACUGAACCUUGUCAGAACUUUAAUCUUGGACUUUCCAGCCUUCAGCACUGGGAGAAAAUAAAUGUCUGCUGUUUGAGUCAUCCAAUCUACAGUGCUUUGUUAUGGUAGCCUGAGAUGACUAAGACAACAGGAACCAUGUAAAUGAAAGAAAGGAGGACUGAGAAUUGAAGGAUUCCAGGAAGAAAUAUCGACUGUGCCAACAAAAUCUGUUUUACAAAUGUUUGAAACAAUCUCAAUGAAGAGGAUGAGUGGGAAAGUUACUGAUCCAAGUAUCUCUGAAAUUUAGAGUCUGUAAGACUAAAGGCAAAAUGAACUGCACAUAAUUAACGUACUCUAGCUGAUAAAGUUGUUUCCCAUUGGAUUAUGGGUUAACAAUUCUAUAUUGUUACAUGUGUAUCCUGAAAUGGGACAAUAAAGUAAAUGGAUGACAA
rnacentral:lncRNA from 1 species